rnacentral:rRNA from 1 species
CCCUUAGAUGUUCUGGGCCGCACGCGCGCUACACUGACGAAUGCAACGAGCUUAUAACCUUGGCCGAAAGGUCUGGGUAAUCUCCAAAUUUCGUCGUGAUGGGGAUAGAUUAUUGCAAUUAUUAAUCUUCAACGAGGAAUGCCUAGUAAGCGCAAGUCAUCAGCUUGCGUUGAUUACGUCCCUGCCCUUUGUACACACCGCCCGCCGCUCCUACCGAUUGAAUGGUCCGGUGAAGCGCUCGGACCGCGGCCUCUUGACGGUUUUCCGUCGAUUGGCUGUGGGAAGUUCGUUAAACCUUAUCAUUUAGAGGAAGGAGAAGUCGUAACA